UGUUCAAAACUGAGCAUUUUGGGGUUUAUGUACACUUUUCAAUUUCAGGGUAAAAAGGCAGCCAUCCAAAAUAACAACAGAUUUCAGAAUGCCUCGUUUUUGCUCGGUGACAUUUCACAAGUUUACUUCUAGCUCUGAUUGGUGUGUGGCUACAGAAGACAGGGGCAGAGAAUACAGCCUGGUCUUGUACCUCCCAUAGUUAUGAAUUGGAAGAUGGCAUUUCUGCUGUACAACUACAGGAUAUAAGCUUUACCUUUUGGAGGCAGGUGGUAGAUGUGUGUAUCACUGAAACGUGACUGUCUGCCUUUUAUGCAACCUCUGAGAAGAGCAUCACUGAAAAGGUGACAUUUAACUGGAGAUAUGCGCAGAAGACAAGCUGUCUCCCGUGACCUUUCCAGUUAAACAGUUUCCUAUCCGCUCAGUGCACAUUAAAACCCAAGGAUUUCAGAUGUGCCCCUGCUAUUGUCAUCUCAUCUAUGAAGACAGCAAGGUUCUUGGGAAGAUACCAAGUGGAAGAUUUUCAUCUCAUAGAGGUAGCAUAGUGGGCUAUCUAUUGGCUAAGGAAAAUGUGAUGCCUGGCACAUAAAUGUAAUGACAAUAAAAUGUCACUGUCCUCACAACUGUAAUUGCAACAUUUCCUUCUUUGUGUUUGGGAAGAUUUUAGUCCUAAUAUAUCUAAUACUUAAUGUAUAACAUCUUACAAACUGAUUAAGAGCUUACCAGCUGCUAAGUGGUAAAAGUUAAAUGCAAGCAGGUAGCAUGGAGCAGAGUGCAGCUAAGUGAUGGUGCCAAGCUAAAGUAUUGAUGCACAUGUAGCUUGGGUGGUUGUUCUUACUCUUCUCUGUGUGAUGUGAAACUCUAAAGAAAGAGUUUUAUCUGUAGAAUCUAAGUGAUUUUUUUGUCCCCUAAAUGUCUUUUUUUUUCUGUAAAUCUCUUCUGUAUCAUCUGACACGUGUAGGAAUCUGCAUUUGAGAGCGCGUAUCUGCCACACAUGAGAGGAUGACUCAGAAGGCUUAUUCGUAUGAAGGAACGCUGGGCACGUGAACUUGCUGGUGGUUCUCACCUCUUAGAAUCAGUUUUUUACAUGACUAAACUUCUCCUCCUCAAGGAGCCGCAGGACAUGUUUCAGCCAGAGCAGCACUUGAUGCCAAGGCAGAGCCUUGAAUCUGCUGUACACCGUGGAGCUUCUCUGGAGGAAAGCUUGUGAUGGCUCAGAGAUUAGUCAUGCAAAGCCUCUGUGAACAAUCCUCAAACACCACGUGCUUUGUAAUGUCUUUCUGCAGAAACAGCUGUCGUGUGUUGAAAUGAAACGUGAGAUGCAGCUUCAGCCCACUGUGGAGAAAAGCAUCUCUCUGCAGCAUCAGAGGGCUUCCAGACUGAAGGCGGUUUGUUGAUAAACGUGCCUCCACCAAAAGCAACUUAAAGCACAGCUCCAUUGCAGACCGGCCUCUGGAAGGGACUAGCCUUAGUGUCUCUGCAUUAGCAUCAUAAACAGUACUGCUAAUUCUUUUAUUUCUUUCUUAUGCCCCCAUUUUACCUGUGAAUUAAGGAAAAGAUCAUACUCCACGGGGCAAUUUCUCUAACUGAAGCUUUCCUGGCGUGCUUCAUGCACAACACGAUCUCUUUUUCUCCUGGCCCCUCAGCAGGUUAUUGAGUGUUUUUCAGCAUCUGCCUUGACAUCCCAGGGGGAUUGGAAUACAGCUCUGCUAAGUAAAUCAUCCUUUAAUGCAGAGGCAAUUGAGCCUGGUUCUGAAUACAGCAGGAAUAUGCAAACUAGAUGAAAGUCAUUUUGCUUACUGCUGUUUUCAGAGCCCCAAAUACCUUGGAUACAAUCUGGGAUCUCAACAGCGACUGGCUGUAAAGCAGUUUUGUUUUGUUUUUUUCUGAAUAACUGCAUUUGGAGUUGACAGAAGCCUUGUGUCCUUUUUCACUUUGAGGAUCAGUCUCAUCAAUUCAAUGCUUUUGAAGGAUGGAUGCAUUAUCUUCAGCUACUUAAAGCAGAAAUCCAAACAAACCAACUACCAAGUUUAGUCCGUUAUGCUGUUUCUGGUUUGGAAUGGGAGGGUUUUCCAGGAGAGUUAUAGGUGAGUUUGCUCUCUUUUUCCUUGAGAAAGCUGCAUCCUCUGUUUUCUUUUCACACACUGGUCAUGCCAAAUAGGAUAAAAAAAUACCUUGAAUUUUUCCCCAAUGGAAUGGGUGUAAAUUGAAUGCUUAGAUUUGUAUAAAGCAAAGAAAGAUAGCCCUGCUCUCUUGCUAAAGAAUCAUGAGUUGGCAUAAAACCUAGAUGUGUCUCUUUGUAGGUUAAGAGUUACAGUAUGUCCAUGCAAACUCUUACCUCAGGUUGCUAGGACCAUGAAUCACGUGGAAUAUAUGAUUCUGGUAUUUUCCUUGCACAAAAAACUGACCUUUUAGAAAUACCAUCCUGUCCUCCUUGCUCUUGCACAUCACAUUAGAAUGUAAAUAUAUAAUUAAUUUUAGAACAUUUUCUCCUGUGACUUUUUUGACCUUUCAGUUUAAUGUAGUUUCUGUUGGUAAGAUGAUUACUCAAUGAAUGCAUUUAAUUGUUUUUGUUGCAUAUAUUUGCAUAAUUGCAAUUGCAUGGCCACAGAUAAACCCAAGUAGUAAGGCACCCAUUCAGAAGUUUGCAUCGAGUCGUGAUCUACACCUUUAUAUGCUCAAUUAAGAGAAAAUAUUAUGUCAACAGACAACAUAAUUCCUUUAAACAGUAUUUUUAGCUUGAGUGGUAUCGCGCUUUUAUAUCCAUGUAAUUUACUGUCCCCCUCUCUCUAGUCCCGUAGCUCGUGUUCUUCACACAUGGCACAAAUGUAUUUUCAGGCUUAAACUUUCACCCUUUUUUGCUGUAGGAAAAGCGGUUAUAUAUAUCUGUCCUCUUGGUGUUUCGGGGACUCGCAACAGUGAUUAAAUUGCCUCUUGAGGUUCUUAUGCUAACAGUUUCUAGCCUCUGUGAAGGAAUAUUAUUAGCAUGAGUUCUACUUAAUGAUUCAAAAUGUUUAACUUAAUUGUAGACAAGAAAAAAUGUUACUUGGUAAGUUGUGGGGUUUUGUUCUACUGCACUGAUGAAUGCACACAGAUGUGAAAGCCAGUUGGCCUGCUCCUGGACCUGAGGAGUUUGAUGACUGAGAACAAGGUCCUGGUGUUACCCCAUGUACAUGAAAAGGGGUUUGCAGUGCCUUGAUGUGAGAGCAUGGGGUUGAUGAACCACCCUUCUAUAGCAUGGAGACCAGACAUGGGGAAGAAAACAUUGGCAGAUCGUAGAAUCACAGAAUGGUUAGGUUUGGAAAGGACCUUAGGAUCAAGUUCCAACCCCUCUGCCAUGGGCAGAUGUUGGCCUUGUGGCAUUUGAGCUUCUCCUCAGGUUGGAUAAUGGGCUUUGGGCAGCUGAAUGGUGCUCCAGGCUGCUGGAGCAGUACUGGAUAAUGCCUGUGGGAAGUCAAACCUACCCAUGGGACUUCAUGCUGAUUUUUUUCUUCCAGGACAUGGAUAAGUCUGCUCAGCUGAGCCACAGCAGUGGUAAGCAAGGAACAGGUAGGUGGAUACCCACCACCUCACAGACCUCAGCACGCAGCAGUAAUGAGCCCACGCUAUAAUUUUGGCGCUAUUUCUUUGAACUUGCUACUCAGUUUUAACAACUGAAUGGGUCUCAAAAAUGGAACAGAAGUGAGAGUGAGGGGCCCUGAACGUCCCACAGAGCUUCUGCAGUGGGUAUUCACCCUUGGCUCUGGGCCCCACACAUGCAGCUUGAGGGCAGGGCAGAGGGGCAGGCACUGUACCCACCGUGCAAGCAGGGACUCAAGCCCCUGUGGGGCCUGCAAUGGGAACAUGUGCUGUCCAUCACCAGGCAGGAAUGCUCACAGCUGCAGGAGGCUGUCGCAUCGCCAGGCAGCCUCCCUAUGCCCCUCUAUUAGCCUUCCCCCUCACAAUAAUAAUGCACUCAGAAGUCGUUUAGCUGUAGGGUUGCCAUAUAAAUUUCCUUAGUUUAAAAAUGGCACUUUUGUAACCUGCAGGGGCUAUAUCCCCAGCUGGGGUUAAACAGGGUGUGUGUUGUGUUGCCUGCCUUUUGACAUGUGGGAAUAAGCUAGUAGCUUGUUAACAGUACCUAUCAAGUGGGAGAAGAAAAGUGGCUUUAAACCCAACUCUGGCGAGGAGAAAAACUAAAUGGAAAAUAUGCGUUUUUAAUAUGCCACUGGGUAAAUUUAUAAGAGCAGAACAACAUUCGUUGUAACCUGAUAUCCCUCAGGAAUGAGGGAAAAGCUGACUGCUUGCUCCACUGAGCCAAAAAAUAAGCAAACAUGUAAGUGCAAGUGUGCAGUCAGCAGCAUAAGGAAUAAUGCUUCAGAAAGCCGGGAGCAAAGCCAGAGUGUUGCGUGUUAGAAGGCUAACAGUUUCACACAGAAACACAAACUAUUACUUGUAACCUAUUUGUAUGAUAGCCUUCAACAUCCUAAAGAAAGUCCCAAUCCUUCUGCAUUUACCCAGCCCCCAGGUGGCUGUUUUGGCAGAAGCUGAGGAAAUACUGCAUGUUAGCCAUCUUAUGACUUCUCGAUGGAAACUGAACAGAUUUUGGAUGUAAACAUGUAAUUCAUUAAAAUAACCAGAAUGUAUUUCCUAGGAUGGGUAGGCUGGUUCAGAGGUCUGCCUGUUCAAUGUUUUAUCAAGCUCUUUGCAGCAACACUGCAGUUGAGUGUCACCCAGCAUACACAAUAGGUUUGGGAAAGCAACCCUGCAUGGCCUUCAGUCACCCAGCAUGGUAUAUUUUUGGCAUGGCACGCAGAGAAUUAGGCACCCAGCUCCUGUGGCUGGUGGGAUCCCCAUGGCUCCUCAUCCAGGCUGUCCUGGAGCUGUACCGCUUCCCGCUCAGCUGCAAGGGCUGUGCUGCUGGGAAUAGCUGGUGAGAGAAGGGCCACAGCCCCUGGCAUGUCAGCCCAGCAGAUGAAUGCAUGCACAUCCCUAGGAAAAGGGCAGAAGUGCUGUGAGGUGAAGCCCUGCGCAUCAGAAAUGUACUCCCCAUAGGAAUUCAAAGUACUUGCAAUUAUUUGGAAGGAGGCUGUACAAGUGCCAGUGUUGUUUGCAGAAGACAAUGAGAGCGAUUACAGUUGCAGGAAAUUGCAGAUGUUCUGCAAAAAGAAAUAAACAAAACUAAAAUUGCUUUCUGAGAAAUAAAAAAAUCUUCAGAAUGUCCAAAUCAUCUGUUUUUUCUGCAAUGCUUUUCUACAUAGCAUCUGCAAAUGGAUUAGAAAGUCAUCAGUAUCCAGGCUGAUCCCCGGCUACAGGAAUAAGAGAAAAACAUUGCUCUUUCUGCUUUUCCCAGGGCAUCCCUGCUCCCCGCUCUGCUCUGGGAUCCAACACACGGGAAGGGUUUCUGCAGAGACCGCUCCAGAAAUCAAACCAUGUCAGGUGAGGGGAGCAGUGUGGCUCCUGGGCACCCAUGCCUGCCAUCCUUGGAAGAAGCAUUCAUAUUCACACGUGACAUUUGACGUCACUGGUCAACUGGGGCCCUGAAGGGGACUUCAGUGCCCUGUAUCUGUCAUGAGGUAGUCAACUCUCACCUAGGAUUUCCCUGCUCUAAGUAAUAUAGGCAUCCAGAACGGACUGUUGUUGAUGCUAUGGGUUGAGCUUGAGUUCCGUCAUCCUUCCCGUUUCCAUGUCAGACAAAUUGUAGUGAUCCAUCUUAGCCUGCUGCCCACCCCACUGCUCCCCACAUAGCCCAGGUGCAAGCCAGUGCCUUUCCUUGUCCCCUGUUAAAACCAGCCCUGACAGGAGUAAAGCCAAAUGCCAAUGUUUUGGGAUAGUCAGGAAAACUUUGUAGUAUCAAGUCCUAGUCCUCAGCGACACAUUUAUGUUUUCCCUUGUAGUACUCUGGCUGUCCUUUUCCCUACAAGAUUAGGCCCUCACUAAAUUUACUCACAGCAAGGUGCUCGGGAAGGGAGCUCAGUAAGAAAACUGAUGGCAGCAGCUGUGCUACUCAUCUGGAAACAGGUGAGGCGAGAAGACACUCAUGCCCAGGGGUGAUGUCCCCUCAUCAUAGUUCUCAUGUGGCAGACAGUGACCCCCACCCUGGCUGGACAGCCUGACCUGCACAUGCAUCAUGAUGCACUGGAACCGAGCACGGCAGCGGCAAGCCCCACCAGGUUCUUUGGGAAUAUAAAAGAAAGAGGGGACCUUAAAGCUGUGGCAGGAAAAAUCCCUGGUACUUCACAAAGUGCAUGUGACGUGGUUUUUCCAGGUUACCUAAACCCCCCCUCGGCUUCAGAUGGAAGUGAAACUCUUACUCAUGGUCAAAACUGGAAGGUGGGGGGAAUAACUUCACACAGCAGCAUCUUUUCCUCAAUCUGCUUAUUCAAUCAAAUAACUGCAACUCGCAGGUUUCCAAUUGCUCCCCUAACUGCCCUCUGGCCUGUACCAUAAAGAAAUAAACACAUGCAACCUCUUUUUCUUGCAGCAGAACAUCUGUGACCCAUUAACAUCUGAUGCCGGGAUGCAAAGCCAGCUUUGGAGCCAGGCCUGAAGCACAGCUCGGGCAAAGCAGUUGUUCACUUCUCUGUGAGUUUGGCAUUGCUGCUCUCUAAUAUUUUAUCAGCAUGUUUAUUUUUGUUAUAGUAGCACUCCAGGACUUCAGCAAAGAGCUACAGCAACAUUUUACUGUGUUUAAGUAAUCUUUAAACAGUAGCAGUUCCAAUUUGGGUGUA